UGUAUUAAAGGCUCCUGUAAGAGGGACUUUUAUUAUGAAACCGGAAUUGUUAUAGUACGACGUUAGGGGGCAGUGUAGUUUGAUGAGCUGCCGCUGUUUGGUGUGUUCGUGUGAUCUGUCCAAGCCAUCAGCUGCAAGGAUGAUGCUUCCAGUUUAUUUGUGGAGAUUGUUGCAGAUUUAAUAUCAGGGUGUUAGUCACUGACCACAAAACUAUCUACGCCUUUGAUUGUACAUCUGUGGGCCUUCCUUUUCUCUACUAAUACAACAUUGAAAGCUAAUCACCUGCCUCCUCAUUAUUGGUGCUCUGACCGGCACCCAGGGGGGUUUACUCAUCCAUUACCUGAUCAGAACCUAACAGUCCUAAAGUCUCUCCAACAAAUUUGGUCCUUCGAGCCGGAUGAGUAUUCCCUUUUGACAUGAUGGAUCCUGAUGAGGAGAUUGUUAGUGGUGCUCGUCCUAAACGUCAUACUCGUCCACCAGCUCACCUUCAGCAGUAUGAAGUACAGUAUACCCGAGUCAGACCUGUCGCUGAGUAUGAUGUUCCGCAUCCUUUGGAGGCACCUGUCCGCCGGACUACCCCCCUAUCCUUCCAGCCUUACGCCACUCCCCCUGGUGGUGACCUGGUCUGUUCUGAUGGCUCACAGAUCAUAGCCUCAAAUUAUCAGCCUCCACAGCAUGCUGAAUUCCAUCAGUCAUCCUUCUCCUCGCCUCAAGCAGCUGGUUUGAUUUCCUCUGCACACGGCAGUGAAUUAGAGCACCUGCGUCAUGAGCAUGCACAACUUAUUCAGACUCAUCAGGCUUUCCAAGCAGACCUGAGGGAGCUGAGAGAAGUCCGUGCGGAAGUCAGAGAAUUAGUUCAAGUUGCUCAGUCACUUCGAGCUGACCUUAGUCUAACCAGAGGCCAGAAUCUCUCAUCAGCACAGCCACCAGCAUUGCAGCUAUCCAGUCCUCCUGUGAGGCGGUAUGAAUCCACACCUUUCGCGGAUGAGGGAAAUUUUGCGGAUCUUCCCCCACCACCCUGGCCUGAGCCUGACGUUGACUGGAUGAACCAGACUAUCUACGCCUUUGAUUGUACAUCUGUGGGCCUUCCUUUUCUCUACUAAUACAACAUUGAAAGCUAAUCACCUGCCUCCUCAUUAUUGGUGCUCUGACCGGCACCCAGGGGGGUUUACUCAUCCAUUACCUGAUCAGAACCUAACAGUCCUAAAG
ensembl:lncRNA